ensembl:lncRNA
AUGAUGAUAAGAUGUUUAAUGUUUAGAUACAUGAUGAUAAGAUGUUUCAUGAUAAGAUGUUUCAUGUUUAGAUACAUGAUAAGAUGUUUCAUGUUUAUAUACAUGAUGAUAAGAUGUUUCAUGUUUAGAUACAUGUAGUAUAUGAUAAGAUGUUUCAUGUUUAGAUACAUGUAGUAUAUGAUAAGAUGUUUCAUGUUUAGAUACAUGUAGUACAUGAUGAUAAGAUGUUUAAUGUUUAGAUACAAGUAGUAUAUGAUGAUAAGAUGUUUCAUUUUUAGAUACAUGUAGUAUAUGAUGAUUAGAUGUUUCAUUUUUAGAUACAGGUAGUAUAUGAUGAUAAGAUGAUUAAUGUUUAGAUACAUGAUGAUAAGAUGUUUAAUGUUUAGAUACAUGAUGAUAAGAUGUUUAAUGUUUAGAUACAUGUAGUAUAUGAUGAUAAGAUGUUUCAUGUUUAGAUACAUGAUGAUAAGAUGUUUCAUGUUUAGAUACAUGUAGUAUAUUAUAAGAUGUUUCAUGUUUAGAUACAUGUAGUAUAUGAUAAGAUGUUUCAUGUUUAUGAUUAUUAUGAUGUUUAUGUAUGAUGAUAAGAUGAUUCAUGUUUAGAUACAUAUAGUAUAUAUGAUGAUAAGAUGUUUCAUGUUUAGAUACAUGUAGUAUAUGAUAAGAUGUUUCAUGUUUAGAUACAUGUAGUGUAUGAUAAGAUGAUUCAUGUUUAGAUACAUGUAGUAUAUGAUGAUAAGAUGUUUCAUGUUUAGAUACAUGAUGAGAAGAUGUUUCAUGUUUAGAUACAUGUAGUAUAUGAUGAUAAGAUGUUUCAUGUUUAGAUACAUGUAGUAUAUGAUGAUUAGAUGUUUAAUGUUUAGAUACAUGAUGAUAAGUUGUUUCAUGAUAAGAUGUUUCAUGUUUAGAUACAUGAUGAUAAGAUGUUUAAUGUUUAGAUACAAGUAGUAUAUGAUGAUAAGAUGUUUCAUGUUUAGAUACAUGUAGUAUAUGAUGAUUAGAUGUUUAAUGUUUAGAUACAUGAUGAUAAGUUGUUUCAUGAUAAGAUGUUUCAUGUUUAGAUACAUGAUGAUAAGAUGUUUCAUGUUUAGAUACAUGUAGUAUAUGAUAAGAUGUUUCAUGUUUAGAUACAUGUAGUAUAUGAUGAUAAGAUGAUUCAUGUUUAGAUACAUGUAGUAUAUGAUGAUUAGAUGUUUCAUUUUUAGAUACAGGUAGUAUAUGAUGAUAAGAUGAUUAAUGUUUAGAUACAUGAUGAUAAGAUGUUUAAUGUUUAGAUACAUGAUGAUAAGAUGUUUCAUGUUUAGAUACAUGUAGUAUAUUAUAAGAUGUUUCAUGUUUAGAUACAUGUAGUGUAUGAUAAGAUGAUUCAUGUUUAGAUAUGAUGAUGAUGAUGAUAAGAUGUUUAAUGUUUAGAUACAUGAUGAUAAGAUGUUUAAUGUUUAGAUACAUGUAAUAGUAACAUAAUGUUUAGUAAACAUGAUGAUUAGAUGUUUCAUUUUUAGAUACAUGUAGUAUAUGAUGAUAAGAUGAUUCAUGUUUAGAUACAUGAUGAUAAGAUGUUUAAUGUUUAGAUACAUGAUGAUAAGAUGUUUAAUGUUUAGAUACAUGUAGUAUAUGAUGAUAAGAUGUUUCAUGUUUAGAUACAUGAUGAUAAGAUGUUUCAUGUUUAGAUACAUGUAGUAUAUGAUGAUAAGAUGUUUCAUGUUUAGAUACAUGUAGUAUAUUAUAAGAUGUUUCAUGUUUAGAUACAUGUAGUAUAUGAUAAGAUGUUUCAUGUUUAGGUACAUGUAGUAUAUGAUAAGAUGUUUCAUGUUUAGAUACAUGUAGUAUAUGAUGAUAAGAUGUUUCAUGUUUAGAUACAUGUAGUAUAUGAUGAUAAGAUGUUUCAUGUUUAGAUACAUGUAGUAUAUUAUAAGAUGUUUCAUGUUUAGAUACAUGUAGUAUAUGAUAAGAUGUUUCAUGUUUAGGUACAUGUAGUAUAUGAUAAGAUGUUUCAUGUUUAGAUACAUGUAGUAUAUGAUGAUUAGAUGUUUAAUGUUUAGAUACAUGAUGAUAAGUUGUUUCAUGAU